GUUAGCAGCGCCGAGCUCGCCCUGCGGGCCGCAGGCCUAGGCGAGGAGCUGCCCGACAUAGCUGCUGGCGGGGUGGGGGGUGGGGGGCAGGCUGAAGGAUCAGCCUGCGGCGCCAAGCAGCUUGCGCUCCGCCCAGCUACUGGUCAGUGGAUCUCGCCGCGGAAUGCUCCAGCCCGUGUCGCCACCACACCCCGAAGCCAGCCUGCCCGCUGUCCACUCACCGGACUCUGGCCCGUGCUGGAUGGUGGAGGUCGCCAAGUAUGGAGUAUGAAGAUGGAACCCAAACCCUUGUGCUUGUUGUGCAUGCUAGGCAAGUACUCUACUACUGAAUGACAUCCCAGCUUUAAGGCUCUAGCUCAAGGAGAGUCACAGAGCUGAGGGCUUCAAUAUAUGAAUGCGGUGGGAACAUAAUGUUACCCAAAACACCAUCUCCAAACGCAUUUAUUAUAAACCAGUUACAAGAUGGUU